GAUGAACGCUGGCGGCGUGCCUAACACAUGCAAGUCGAACGGAGUCCAGCCUUUAAGACCUUCGGGUCAAAGAGGGGAAGACUGAGUGGCGGACGGGUGAGUAACACGUGGGCAACCUGGCUCAUAGAGGGGGAUAACAGAGAGAAAUUUCUGCUAAUACCGCAUAAGCACACACUGCCGCAUGGCAGAGGGUGAAAAGAGAAUCGCUAUGAGAUGGACCCGCGUCUGAUUAGCCAGUUGGCAGGGUAAGAGCCUACCAAAGCGACGAUCAGUAGCCGAUCUGAGAGGAUGAACGGCCACAUUGGGACUGAGACACGGCCCAAACUCCUACGGGAGGCAGCAGUGGGGGAUAUUGCACAAUGGGGGGAACCCUGAUGCAGCGACGCCGCGUGAGUGAAGAAGUAUUUCGGUAUGUAAAGCUCUAUCAGCAGGGAAGAUAAUGACAGUACCUGAAUAAGAAGCCACGGCUAACUACGUG
rnacentral:rRNA from 1 species